AAAAUCCGCGACUUUAGAAAUCGUGAGGGUUCAAGUCCCUNUAUCCCCA
rnacentral:tRNA from 1 species